UGAGCGCACCCUGAUCAGCCAUUCCGCGUGAGUGAAGAAGGCCUUCGGGUUGUAAAGCUCUUUCGCAAGGGAAGAAAACUUAGGCUCUAACAUAGCCUGAGGCUGACGGUACCUUGAUAAGAAGCACCGGCUAACUACGUGCCAGCAGCCGCGGUAAU
rnacentral:rRNA from 1 species